GUGAGGAAUAUUGGUCAAUGGUCGGAAGACUGAACCAGCCAUGCCGCGUGCAGGAAGACGGUCCUAUGGAUUGUAAACUGCUUUUAUUCGGGAAUAAACCUCUUUACGUGUAGGGAGCUGAAGGUACCGAAGGAAUAAGCACCGGCUAACUCCGUGCCAGCAGCCGCGGUAAUACGGAGGGUGCAAGCGUUAUCCGGAAUCAUUGGGUUUAAAGGGUCCGCAGGCGGGCUAUCAAGUCAGAGGUGAAAUCCCACAGCUUAACUGUGGAACUGCCUUUGAAACUGAUGGUCUUGAAUUAAGUGGGCGUUGGCGGAAUAUGACAUGUAGCGGUGAAAUGCAUAGAUAUGUCAUGGAACACCGAAAGCGAAGGCAGCUAACGAUACUUAUAUUGACGCUCAUGGACGAAAGCGUGGGUAGCGAACAGGAUUAGAUACCCCGGUAGUCC
rnacentral:rRNA from 1 species